CUUCCUCAGAGAAGGCCCUUUGCCCUAAAAUAUCUUUUUCAACAGGAGGCCAUGGUAUCCGAGUUCCCACCAUUAGAGUUACUUUUUAGUUAAACUACUUCAUGAAGCCACCGCUUAAUGGAAGGAGGAAGGAACAAUCUAAUGAUUCCACGAGUGGUUGUCUAGUCUUAGUUGGUUUACAAGAUUAGUUGCGUAGAUCUAGAAGGAGCCAGGAACAGGUAAGUCAGGCCCGUGGGUGUGGCUUGGGGGACCUCUGCCCCUGCACUUGUGAAUGAGGGCUUUGAGCAACCAGCAGGGGGGCGGGGGGAGGGGUGGGGCGGGAGGAGUAGAAGAGGUCACAAUAGGCUAGGGAUCUGGAGAGUAAAUAAUCGUCCCAACAGAGGUGAUGUCACAGUGGACUCUACAUGCCAUUUCUAUGUGUUACAAUGAAGGGGAGGAAAUGCAAGGAGAAUCGAUCGAAAAGCAGCACAGAAUCAUUCGGGAAAACAACUUUUUUUUUCCCCUCACCAGGAAUCGUUUGUUGAUUGUUGCGCUCAGGCUCUGGACAAAAGAGAACCGCCGAUUCAAUCUCUGCCUCCUUCACAGCUUGCCAAUCAAAGAGAGGCACAGAAGUAGGGCACAGAGAGCAGGAAGAAAACAUCUAAACGUGAAUGGCGCUUUCGUAGUCACAACAACAACCACAAAAUUCCUAAGGAUCUUGAAGAGGUAAAACCCAGAUUGUAAAGGCCCAAGAGAGACUACGGCACUGGGAGACACAAGCAAUGAUUGUGGACUGCUCCUUGAGAAGUUCUACAACAAAUAGAAGGAGAAAGAUAGUUCAAGUUAAGGCCAGAGCUAAGGGGAAGGCUUCAGUGAUGCCCCAGAAACCUCCUACCUCUGGGAGAGCUGCUUUAAAUUUUCAGAGAUUAUGCACGCUUCUUGUUCAACUGGCUUGACACACUCCCACGGUGGAUGUGUUUACACUGCAGACAUCGGCAAAUGCUACCGAUCAACCACCUGCCCUCACGCCCAGCCGGUUGUGAAACCCUUCACCUCUGUGAAGAUGGAGAAGGUAAGCAUGUUUCUACGCAGGGGGAUUGAAAAGUGGGUUACGGUAGAGAGAUAGGAGUUGGGGGUAAGGGAGAGGAAGCAGAUACAAGGUUUAGGGAGGUCCAGGCGUCACGGAGCCAGGAGGGGAUAUGGAGGGUGUGGAGGAGGCAGGAUUGUGAGGACGGGAUGUUGGAAGCAUCGCUACAUGGACUCAGAGGAGAGAGUUAAGAAAUUCCCUGACCUACCUGCCUCAACUGAGCUAACAAGCACCCCCUCCAUAUCUCAGCAACUGAAGGAAAUUAGGUCAAAUGACAACAACAAAACCCCCGAGAGGUAUCCUUAAGGAAGAAAUCAUUUUAACUGACGUCGGAGCCACACCUUCGUUAGGGUAUUUCUUUGGGUUGUUGUAUUUAAUGCCUUAGAAGUUUCAUCAUUGCCCCUGCUGAGACUUGUGAUGGUAACCCCUGUGUUUUAGAAGAUCGCUCAAUCCCGUUACCCAUGAGAGCAGCGCAGUCAUCCCAAGCCAGAACUGGGCAAGAAAGCACAUUAUGAACUUGGGGAAACACGACCCCCCCAGAUACAAUGCACUCUGUACCUCCCUACUUAGGAACAAAGGAACAACCCAGCUGAACACAGCCACCAUCACUGGAAUCUGAGGCUAACGUGAAACUUACCUCUGUGGGGACUGUAACCCUAAAACCAGAGCUGAAGUUUCUUUUCUCAAAUAAGAUGUUUGAGGUUUGCUCUUUCCUGAUACUCCUGUGAUACAUUCCUGACCUUUCGGAAUUUUUAUUUAAUUUAAAAGGAGUUACAACAGAAGUGCGUCUUAUCCUAAACAUAUUUACCCUUCAUUAUAGGUUUUAUUAAAGUUCUGUGUAGGUACACACACGCAAGGAAAGUUCAAGGGAGGAUGGGAGAGAGAGAGAGACAGAAAGACAGAGGGGAGGACGGAAAAGAGCAUGCUUGGCCCGCGCUUGGGUCCCGGAACCAGGUGUGAUUUAAGCGUUCCGUAAUGACCCACUGUCACAUCUCUCAGGGCCCCUGCACUCGCUGUGGAAAACAACAGAAUUUCACAACGUUUCAGGGCUGCUGGUGGGAGAAGGCGACCAGCUGCUUCCUUGCUUAAGACGACAGUCCCACAGGCUCCCUUGCAAAUGUCAGAAAUGUCAGACCUACUCCCAGACAAAUACCUCAGGAAAGACAUUCUCAGGGCAGCUGAGGACACUGGUUCUGUUCCCUCGUAUCAAUAGUGCCUUUGACUAAUGCACUUGGCUCUCGGCUGCCGAGACUUCCAGUGGGGAAUGCUUUGCAACUCUAUAUGGUACAUCAUCUGGCCCAUAAAUAAAAACCCGUUUUUCUUUCCUUUGAGGAUAAAC
ensembl:lncRNA